GAUAAAAACGGUAAAUAUGAGGCGUUCUUUUACAAUGCGACCUCAAUGAAAUGCCAAGCAUACUGGGCCUGCGGAUAUCCGAACAGAAGCCUGGUAACAAAUUUUCUCUAUUCUGAUAUCUUCUGUGGCUACGAGUGUGGUGGUUUCAACACAUCGAACAUAUACGGAUGCAACAAGACGACUUAGGAGCUCAUGGUGCUCGAUAUUUCUUCCCUCAGAUUGGUUUCCAUCCCUGCGAUUCCGCGGCUAUUGGUUCACUAGGAAGCAAAUAAAUAGUGUUUGUGUUAA